rnacentral:rRNA from 1 species
AUUGAACGCUGGCGGCAGGCUUAACACAUGCAAGUCGAGCGGGGUGAUGGUGCUUGCACUAUCACUUAGCGGCGGACGGGUGAGUAAUGCUUAGGAAUCUGCCUAUUAGUGGGGGACAACAUCUCGAAAGGGAUGCUAAUACCGCAUACGUCCUACGGGAGAAAGCAGGGGAUCACUUGUGACCUUGCGCUAAUAGAUGAGCCUAAGUCGGAUUAGCUAGUUGGUGGGGUAAAGGCCUACCAAGGCGACGAUCUGUAGCGGGUCUGAGAGGAUGAUCCGCCACACUGAGACUGAGACGCGGCCCAGACUCCUACGGGAGGCAGCAGUGGGGGAUAUUGGACAAUGGGGGGAACCCUGAUCCAGCCAUGCCGCGUGUGUGAAGAAGGCCUUAUGGUUGUAAAGCACUUUAAGCGAGGAGGAGGCUCUUUUGGUUAAUACCCAAGAUGAGUGGACGUUACUCGCAGAAUAAGCACCGGCUAACUCUGUGCCAGCCGCCGCGGUAA